AUUGAACGCUAGCGGGAUGCCUUACACAUGCAAGUCGAACGGAGUGGCGAACGGGUGAGUAAUGCAUCGGAACGUGCCCAGUAGCGGGGGAUAACUUCGCGAAAGGGUAGCUAAUACCGCAUACUAUCGGAGCGGCCUAUAUCGGAUUAGCUAGUUGGUGGGGUAACGGCCGACCAAGGCGACGAUCCGUAACUGGUUUGAGAGGACGACCAGCCACACUGGGACGGAGACACGGCCCAGACUCCUACGGGAGGCAGCAGUGGGGAAUAUUGGACAAUGGGGGAAAGCCUGAUCCAGCCAUCCCGCGUGUGCGAAGAAGGCCUUCGGGUUGUAAAGCACUUUUAGCAGGAAGGCGGUACCUGCAGAAUAAGCACCGGCUAACUACGUGCCAGCAGCCGCGGUAAUUC
rnacentral:rRNA from 1 species